CCUACGGGAGGCAGCAGUAAGGAAUAUUGGUCAAUGGAGGAAACUCUGAACCAGCCAUCCCGCGUGAAGGAUGAAGGGGCUCUGCCUUGUAAACUUCUUUUGUCUGGGGCGAAAAAGCUCGAUUUAUCGAGAACUGACGGUACCAGAAGAAUAAGCACCGGCUAACUCCGUGCCAGCAGCCGCGGUAAUACGGAGGGUGCAGGAAUUAUCCGGAAUCAAGGGGUUUAAAGGGUGCGUGGAAGGCAGUGUAGAAAGGCUGUGGCGUAACCAUGGAAUUGCCAUUGAUACUGCAGAGCUUGAAUGAGGUUGAGGUUGGCGGAAUGUGACAUGUAGCGGUGAAAUGCUUAGAUAUGUCAUGGAACACCGAUUGCGAAGGCAGCUGACUGGACCUAUAUUGACGCUGAGGCACGAAAGCGUGGGGAGCGAACAGGAUUAGAUACCCUGGUAGUC
rnacentral:rRNA from 1 species